UACGUAGGAGACGAGCGUUGUCCGGAGUUACUGGGCGUAAAGGGUGCGCAGGUGGCGGCGCGCGUGGGGGGUGAAAUCGCCCGGCUUAACUGGGCGGGGGCCUCGAAAACUGCCAGGCUUGAGGCAUGGAGAGGGAUGCGGAAUUCCCGGUGUAGUGGUGAAAUGCGUAGAUAUCGGGAGGAACACCAGUGGCGAAGGCGGGCAUCCUGGCCAUGUCCUGACGCUCAGGGGCGAAAGCGUGGGGAGCAAACCGG
rnacentral:rRNA from 1 species